AUCGGCGGCUCGAGUGGUGGCCACUAUUACUGGGCUUAAAGCGUUCGUAGCUGGCUUGUUAAGUCUCUGGGGAAAUCUUCCGGCUCAACCGGAAGGCGUCUUAGGGAUACUGGCAGGCUAGAGGUCGGGAGAGGUUAGGGGUACUCCCAGGGGAGGGGUGAAAUCCUGUAAUCCUGGGAGGACCACCUGUGGCGAAGGCGGCUAACCGGAACGGCACUGACGGUGAGUAACGAAAGCUAGGGGCGCAAACCG
rnacentral:rRNA from 1 species